AAGCCCCCGUUGCUGUAUGACAACCUGUCUACACGAUUUUACAGCUGCCCAACAUUGGGGUUUCGCUGUUUAGUGUGUCCCCUUCCGAACAAAACAAAACAAAACAAAACAAAAACGGGGUCGGGGUUUUUUUUUUUUUCUCCAGCGCUUACAACUGACUCCUCGCAAUUCGGCUCAGAGUCGGCUGUAAGCGAAUGGGCCAGUGAGGAAGUUACACUUUUGGAAGGGUGGAGCUGCCACUUACUUUCCACUGACUUUCAUUUUUGUUUGGGUCGUAGUCUCUAAUCGAAGCAGUAAGCGCAAACCCAGAAUUAAACCUUCCAGCUGCUCUUCCCAGAAACCUCUUCCUUGCCAUACUAAACAAACAAGGCGUCCCAUCAACCGACAGAGGAAGAAAGAAAAGAAGGCCUGGAUUAAAGUGCGAAGGAGCAGGCGAAGGCGACGAGCUGGGACAAAAAAAUAGAACGGAUCUGAAAGGGACGACCCUAGACGGAAGGCGCCAUCCAGCCGAAGUGGACCCGAUGCCUAUUUAUUGGGAAAUAAAGGCGUUCCACUGAA